CUCCCGCCCAGUCUCCUCCCCCUGGGAAUGCGCGGGGUGGGUGACAGACCUGGCCGCGCGCCACCGCCACCGCGCCUGCCGGGGGCGCUGCCGCUGCCUGAGAAAGAAGCCGCGGCUGCCGCCUGGAGGAGGUGCCGUCGCCUCCGCCACCGCUGCCGCCGCCGCCAGGGAGAGAAAAUUUACAACUCAGAGGGCCAGUGGUAAAGGAAUAUGGAAGAAAGAACCAAGUUAAAGCAUCUCAGAAGUCAUGUGUCCCAGAUAAGGAGCUACAAGUUGGCAGAAGCACUAUUAGCCUGGACCCUUGAAUGACUGAACGGAGCAGAUUCUCCCCAAUCUUCCUCCUACCCCACUUGCUUGGCAUGUAAUAAUUUGUUGUGUGAAGCCAAAGAGACAUUGAAGUUUGUCUACGACCCCGGGUAGUAGUGUUGCAUAACCUAAAUUAACGUAUUCUCUAAACUACAAUACUUUACAAAUACCUUUCUUAAAUCUCAGUGACUGUGCCAUUGAGGUAAAAGCACUUCCCUUCCCACUAAAUAUCCCACUCCAGCUGACUGCCCACUGGCCAAGGUUGUGACGGAUACACCAGAUAUAUAUCAACUUAUGUUGGAACCUCCCUAUAGUACAUUAGCAAAACUACUGAAGAGACCAAAAGAAUUAAAAAGUGGAUUUGUUUCUCCAUCUGAAUAAAAGCUGCGAAAGCCUGAA